rnacentral:rRNA from 1 species
GCGGCGCGCUUAACACAUGCAAGUCGAGCGAGAACCAGGGCUUCGGCUCUGGGGACAGCGGCGAACGGGUGAGUAACACGUGGGUAAUCUGCCCUCGAUUCUGGGAUAGCCCGGGGAAACCCGGAUUAAUACCGGAUGAUGUCGUAAGACCAAAGAUUUAUCGCCCAAGGAUGAGCCCGCGUAGGAUUAGCUAGUUGGUGGGGUAAAGGCCCACCAAGGCGACGAUCCUUAGCUGGUCUGAGAGGAUGAUCAGCCACACUGGGACUGAGACACGGCCCAGACUCCUACGGGAGGCAGCAGUGGGGAGUAUUGGACAAUGGGCGAAAGCCUGAUCCAGCAAUGCCGCGUGAGUGAUGAAGGCCUUAGGGUUGUAAAGCUCUUUUACCCGGGAUGAUAAUGACAGUACCGGGAGAAUAAGCUCCGGCUAACUUCGUGCCAGCCGCCGCCGUAACAC